UGGGUAACACUAACUGGAGGACCGAACCCACUGUCGUUGAAAAGCCAGGGGAUGACUUGUGGAUAGGGGUGAAAGGCUAAUCAAGCCUGGUGAUAGCUGGUUCUCCCCGAAAGCUAUUUAGGUAGCGCCUCGGACGAAUACCAUAGGGGGUAGAGCACUGUUUCGGCUAGGGGGUCAUCCCGACUUACCAAACCGAUGCAAACUCCGAAUACCUAUGAGUACUAUCCGGGAGACAGACUGCGGGUGCUAACGUCCGUAGUCAAGAGGAAAACAAUCCAGACCGCCAGCUAAGGCCCCAAAAUCAUAGUUAAGUGGGAAACGAUGUGGGAAGGCAUAGACAGCUAGGAGGUUGGCUUAGAAGCAGCCACCCUUUAAAGAAAGCGUAAUAGCUCACUAGUCGAGUCGGCCUGCGCGGAAGAUGUAACGGGGCUAAAACUAUGUGCCGAAGCUGCGGAUGUACUUGUAGUGGUAGGGGAGCGUUCUGUAAGCCGAUGAAGGUGUAUUGAGAAGUAUGCUGGAGGUAUCAGAAGUGCGAAUGCUGACGUGAGUAACGACAAAACGGGUGAAAAACCCGUUCGCCGAAAGACCAAGGGUUCCAGUCCAACGUUAAUCGGGGCUGGGUGAGUCGACCCCUAAGGCGAGGCCGAAAGGCGUAGUCGAUGGGAAAAUGGUUAAUAUUCCAUUACUUCUGUGUAAUGCGAUGAGAGGACGGAGAAGGCUAAAUCAGCCUGGCGUUGGUUGUCCAGGUGAAAGGAUGUAGGCAUGUAUCUUAGGCAAAUCCGGGGUACUCUAUGCUGAGAUCUGAUAGCAAGCUGUACUUGUACAGCGAAGUGGUUGAUGCCAUGCUUCCAGGAAAAGUCUCUAAGCUUCAGUUACACAGGAAUCGUACCCGAAACCGACACAGGUGGUCAGGUCGAGUAGACCAAGGCGCUUGAGAGAACUCUGCUGAAGGAACUAGGCAAAAUGGUACCGUAACUUCGGGAGAAGGUACGCUGUUGUUGGUGAUGGAACUCGCUUCCUGAGCUGACGACAGCCGCAGAAACCAGGCCGCUGCAACUGUUUAUUAAAAACAUAGCACUCUGCAAACACGAAAGUGGACGUAUAGGGUGUGAUGCCUGCCCGGUGCUGGAAGGUUAAUUGAUGGGGUUAGCGUAAGCGAAGCUCUUGAUCGAAGCCCCAGUAAACGGCGGCCGUAACUAUAACGGUCCUAAGGUAGCGAAAUUCCUUGUCGGGUAAGUUCCGACCUGCACGAAUGGCAUAAUGAUGGCGGCGCUGUCUCCAGCAGAGGCUCAGUGAAAUCGAAAUCGCUGUGAAGAUGCAGUGUACCCGCGGCUAGACGGAAAGACCCCGUGAACCUUUACUGCAGCUUGACACUGAACUUUGACCUUACUUGUGUAGGAUAGGUGGGAGGCUUUGAAGCUGGAACGCUAGUUCCAGUGGAGCCGUCCUUGAAAUACCACCCUGGUAAUGUUGAGGUUCUAACUCUGUCCCGUGAUCCGGGACGAGGACCGUGUCUGGUGGGUAGUUUGACUGGGGCGGUCUCCUCCUAAAGAGUAACGGAGGAGUACGAAGGUGCGCUCAGCGUGGUCGGAAAUCACGCGUAGAGUAUAAAGGCAAAAGCGCGCUUAACUGCGAGACCCACAAGUCGAGCAGGUACGAAAGUAGGUCUUAGUGAUCCGGUGGUUCUGUAUGGAAGGGCCAUCGCUCAACGGAUAAAAGGUACUCUGGGGAUAACAGGCUGAUACCGCCCAAGAGUUCAUAUCGACGGCGGUGUUUGGCACCUCGAUGUCGGCUCAUCUCAUCCUGGGGCUGAAGCAGGUCCCAAGGGUAUGGCUGUUCGCCAUUUAAAGAGGUACGCGAGCUGGGUUUAGAACGUCGUGAGACAGUUCGGUCCCUAUCUACCGUGGGCGCUGGAAAUUUGAGAGGAUCUGCUCCUAGUACGAGAGGACCAGAGUGGACGAACCUCUGGUGUACCGGUUGUGACGCCAGUCGCAUCGCCGGGUAGCUAUGUUCGGAAGGGAUAACCGCUGAAAGCAUCUAAGCGGGAAGCCUACCUCAAGAUAAGAUUUCCCUAGGACUUUAUGUCCUCUAAAGAGCCGUUCGAGACUAGGACGUUGAUAGGUUGGAUGUGGAAGCAUAGUGAUAUGUGAAGCUGACCAAUACUAAUUGCUCGUGAGGCUUGACUAUACAACACCCAAGCAGUUG
rnacentral:rRNA from 1 species